CCUACGGGUGGCUGCAGUGGGGAAUAUUGGACAAUGGGCGAAAGCCUGAUCCAGCCAUGCCGCGUGUGUGAAGAAGGCCUUCGGGUUGUAAAGCACUUUCAGUGGGGAAGAAAGCCUUGGGGCUAAUACCCUCGAGGAAGGACAUCACCCACAGAAGAAGCACCGGCUAACUCCGUGCCAGCAGCCGCGGUAAUACGGAGGGUGCGAGCGUUAAUCGGAAUUACUGGGCGUAAAGCGCGCGUAGGCGGUCUGAUAAGCCGGUUGUGAAAGCCCCGGGCUCAACCUGGGAACGGCAUCCGGAACUGUCAGGCUAGAGUGCAGGAGAGGAAGGUAGAAUUCCCGGUGUAGCGGUGAAAUGCGUAGAGAUCGGGAGGAAUACCAGUGGCGAAGGCGGCCUUCUGGACUGACACUGACGCUGAGGUGCGAAAGCGUGGGUAGCAAACAGGACUAGAUACCCGUGUAGUC
rnacentral:rRNA from 1 species